AUUAUUAAACAUGGACAAGAAAACAAGAAAUUUACUUGCAAUAUGUUUGGAGCACAUUUUUCCUAUAAGUAUUAGACUCUUAUGUUAUUGGAGGCACUCCACAUCAAUAUCUACUCGUGUACAUGUUGCAGAUUUUCUUCCACUAAUCUUUUCAUGUAUUUUGUUUCUCUUUCUCUGCACUUCUGAUGUACACUGUAAGUAUGUUGUCUGAUCCUGCUUGCAUGUCUGAAGAUUUUGGAUCAAUGUCAAGAGUCAUGUGAUGCUCGAUCCAUGGAAGGUGUUGAAGUGUUGGAAACUUGCCUGAAGUGCAACUUUGGUCCGCUAUUCCAUGGGUGGUUUUGUUGCUAGAACUGCAGUUGUCCACCCACAUUUAAGGAAGUCAGCAGUUGAGACUGUUCUCACUCUUUCAAGUCGACAGCAUGUUACCUCCUAUGGAAUUGAUGCAGUUCUCUACAUCAGAAACAUGCUAGCUUGCCAAAUUACCAAUGUAUGUUCUUUGUAUCACUUGCCAAGAGUUAUGCUUUUGGUGUGCCUUUAUCAUUAUGCAGGUAUUCUAGCUUGUCAGUAUGGAUAUAUGAGCAAACUAAAGAAUAUGUCAAUGGACGGCUGAAAAAUAAACGCGAGCAAACUAAAGAAUAUGUCAAUGGACGGCUGAAAAAUAAACGUGGCGAUGCUUUCAUCCAAGGGAAUAAUGGUAACAUAUGUUCAUUUUUACUACUAAAUGUGUUUUUUUACUUUUGAUUGAUGAGGGAUGGGGACCAGGGAUUGAUGACUUACCCAAGUCACUCAUCCAAGUUUCAUCUGGAAUCAGGACCAAAUGAGUCAGUUGGAGUUGCUAAGUCAAAACACAAUAAUGAGGGCAUAUUUUGUCUCCGUUAAUGCACUACAUGCCAACUUGCCAAGUUACCAACAUAUGUUCUUGUUCUUAUUAUUGCAUACUUAACUUUCUUUUCUUUUCUUUUUUCUAGUGUGGCGUUACUGAAGAGCAUGAAGACGACAAGGCCAGA